AUGUGCACGUCGGUCGCAAUCCACACACCUGUGCAUCUUUGACUCGAGCACCGUGAAGGGUCUUUGUUGACCUGGUACUCGGGUACUUUACACACUCUGAAUGUAAUGGAAUGUCACUGUACAAUGUACAACUAUAAACAACUUUCAACAACGGAUCUCUUGGCUCUCGCAUCGAUGAAGAACGCAGCGAAAUGCGAUAAGUAAUGUGAAUUGCAGAAUUCAGUGAAUCAUCGAAUCUUUGAACGCACCUUGCACCCUUUGGUAUUCCUAAGGGUACGCCCGUUUGAGUGUCAUUGUAAUCUCACUUCAACAUCUUUUUGUUUGAAUGUGGACCUGGAUGUUGCUGUGUAACUACGGCUCAUCUCAAAUGCCUGAGUGUACCCUGCUUUGCAGCGUAUUCGGUGUGAUAAUUCUUCACCGGUAGUGUCUCUUGUUAGACAGCGCUUGCUUGUGGGCUCUAUGCUUCAAACCGUCUCUUGGGACAAUCUCUGACAAUUUGACCUCAAAUCGGGUGGGACUACCCGCUGAACUUAAGCAUAUCAAU
rnacentral:rRNA from 1 species